UCGGACUCGCCCAUGAAGGGUUCCGUACCAUUUAUGACGUAUUAAAAAAACUACUUACUAGAUCUGGUUCAAACCAAUUUUCGUUGGAAGUUUGCAUGGUAAUGUACAUCAUAUAUUUUUUUUAGAUUUUUCAUUCCGUUAUUUUAGAAGUUACAGGGGGGGGGACACACUUUUUUUCACUUUGGAAGUGUCUCUCGCGCAAACUAUUCAGUUUAGAAAAAAAUGAUAUUAGAAACCUAAAUAUCAUUUUUGAAGACCUAUCCUUAGAUACCCCACACGUAUGGGUUUGAUGAAAAAAAAUUUUUUUUUUAAUUUUUAUGACGUAUUAAAAAAGGACUACUUACUAGAUCUCGUUCGAACCAAUUUUCGGUGGAAGUUUGCAUGGCAAUGUAUAUCAUAUAUUUUUUUUAGAUUUUUCAUUCUGUUAUUUAAGAAGUUACGGGGGGGGGGGGGGGGACACACUUUUUACCACUUUGGAAGUGUCUCUCGCGCAAACUAUUCAGUUUAGAAAAAAAUGAUAUUAGAAACCUCAAUAUCAUUUUUAAAGACCUAUCCAUAGAUACCCCACUCGUAUGGGUUUGAUGAAAAAAAAUUUUUUGAGUUUCAGUUCUAAGUAUGGGCAACCCCUAAAAUUUAUUGUUUUUUUUCUAUUUUUGUGUAAACAUCAUAAUGCGGUUCAUAGAAUACAUCUACUUACCAAGUUUGAACAGUAUAGCUUUUAUAGUUUCGGAAAAAAGUGGCUGUGACAGAAUCGGACAGACAGACGGACAUGACGAAUCUAUAAGGGUUCCGUUUUUUGCCAUUUGGCUACGGAACCCUAAAAACCGGCCAAGAGCAUGUCGGGCCAUGCUCAGAGUAGGGUUCCGUAGUUACUCUUCCGUCACAAUAAGCUAAACUGGAGCUUAAAGUAUGGUAGAUUGUUAACCAAGGGAUGAACUGUGUGUGUACGUCUUUUUACUAUGAAGGGGAAACUUUUUGCGAUAACUCAAAAACAGCUAAACUGAUCAUGUCCGCUAUAGUUUUCAUUUAAUGUCUUUUUUAAGCUCUACUUCCACGAUUUUUUUCAUAUUUUUUGGACCUAUGGUUCAAAAGUUAGAGGGGGGGAACACAUUUUUUUUUCUUUCGGAGCAAUUAUAUCCGAAUAUAUUCACUUUAUCAAGAAAUUUUUGUUGAAGACCCCUAUUAGUUUUGAAAGACCUUUCCAACGAUGUCCCACACUGUAGGGUUGAAGCACAAAGAAAUGUUCACCCCCACUUUACGUGUAGGGGAGGUACCCUAAAAAAAAUCGAUUUUAUUGUACGACUUUGUCGGCUUUAUUGAUUUAUAUAUCCAUGCCAAAUUUCAGCUUUCUAGCACUAACGACCACGGAGCAAAGCCUCGGACAGACAGACAGACGGACAUGGCGAAAAUAUAAGGGUUCCUAGUUGACUACAGAACCCUAAAAAGAAGAUAUCCUCGCUUAAUCAGUCGGCAAAAAAAUAUAUUUAGACCUAUUGCAGAUUUAGGUAAUAUAUGAUCAUCUUGUCGACCUUGCAACUGAAUGCCUAAAAAAUGAAAUCUAUGGCCGUUUGGUCAAGGUCUUGUGUGUAAUUCCAAAGGCUCUCGUAAUCAUCAUAAACCAGUAUGAGUUAAUAGGGGCAUAAAACAAAAUUGUAGUUCUUAUAAUUAAUUUUUCAACUCGUCGACUGUAUAAUGGUUGAAUUAAGAUUUCGUAUAUCAAACUGUAAUUGCGUACUUUUCACGUAUGGACUCCACUCAACUAUAAGAUUCAUUUCGACACGCUGUAUGUAGUCAACUGUAAACAAAA